rnacentral:rRNA from 1 species
UACGUAGGGCGCAAGCGUUAUCCGGAAUUAUUGGGCGGAAAGAGCUCGUAGGCGGUUUGUCGCGUCUGCCGUGAAAGUCCGGGGCUCAACUCCGGAUCUGCGGUGGGUACGGACAGACUAGAGUGAUGUAGGGGAGACUGGAAUUCCUGGUGUAGCGGUGAAAUGCGCAGAUAUCAGGAGGAACACCGAUGGCGAAGGCAGAUCUCUGGGCCGUAACUGACGCUGAGGAGCGAAAGCGUGGGGAGCGAACAGG